AAAGAUUAAGCCAUGCAUGUCUAAGUAUAAACAAUUUUGUACUGUGAAACUGCGAAUGGCUCAUUAUAUCAGUUAUAGUCUACUCGAUAGUACCUUACUACUUGGAUAACCGUAGUAAUUCUAGAGUUAAUACAUGCAUAAAUACCCAACUGCUUGUCGGGCGGGUAGCAUUUAUUAGAUUGAAACCAAUGCAGUCUUCGGGCUGGUAUUGUGUUGAGUCAUAAUAACUGUGCGGAUCGCACUUUGUGCGAUAAAUCGAUUGAGUUUCUGCCCUAUCAGCUUUGGAUGGUAGGAUAUGGGCCUACCAUGGCAU
rnacentral:rRNA from 1 species